rnacentral:rRNA from 1 species
CCUACGGGCGGCAGCAGUGAGGAAUAUUGGUCAAUGGUCGCGAGACUGAACCAGCCAAGUAGCGUGCAGGAUGACUGCCCUACGGGUUGUAAACUUCUUUUAUAAAGGAAUAAAAUGAGGCACGUGUGCCUUUUUGUAUGUACUUUAUGAAUAAGGAUCGGCUAAUUCCGUGCCAGCAGCCGCGGUAAUACGGAGGGUCCGAGCGUUAUCCGGAUUUAUUGGGUUUAAAGGGAGCGUAGAUCGCAUGUUAAGUCAGUCGUGAAAGGUUGCGGCUCAACCGUAGAAUUGCAAUGGAUACUGGCAUCCUUGAGUACAGGGGAGGUAGGCGGAAUUCGUGGUGUAGCGGUGAAAUGCUUAGAUAUCACGAAGAACUCCGAUUGCGAAGGCAGCCUACUAAACUGCCACUGACAUUGAUGCUCGAAAGUGUGGGUAUCAAACAGGAUUAGAUACCCGAGUAGUC